UACGUAGGUGGCAAGCGUUGUCCGGAUUUACUGGGCGUAAAGGAUGCGUAGGCGGACUUUUAAGUGGGAUGUGAAAUUCCGAGGCUCAACCUCGGCGCUGCAUUCCAAACUGGAAGUCUAGAGUGCGGGAGAGGAAAGUGGAAUUCCUAGUGUAGCGGUGAAAUGCGUAGAGAUUAGGAAGAACACCGGUGGCGAAGGCGGGUCUCUGGGCCGUAACUGACGCUGAGGAGCGAAAGCGUGGGGAGCGAACAGG
rnacentral:rRNA from 1 species